CUUUCUCCACCGGCGACCGGCGCACGGGUGAGUAACACGUAUGCAACCUGCCCCUGUCAGGGGGACAACCCGCCGAAAGGCGGGCUAAACCCGCGUACAUGCCACCGGGGCAUCCCGGAGGCAGGAAAGGCUUCGGCCGGACAGGGAUGGGCAUGCGGCGCAUUAGGCAGUAGGCGGGGUAACGGCCCACCUAACCGACGAUGCGUAGGGGUUCUGAGAGGAAGGUCCCCCACACUGGUACUGAGACACGGACCAGACUCCUACGGGAGGCAGCAG
rnacentral:rRNA from 1 species